CAUAAGCUCAGCGAGAUUAAAAGUUGCGUGAGGAAAGUUGGCCUCUAUUUAUAAGCUAACGUUGAUGGAAGGGCCUGCGGCGCAUUAGCUAGUUGGUGAGGUAAUGGCUCACCAAGGCGACGAUGCGUAGCCGGUCUGAGAGGAUGAUCGGCCACACUGGAACUGAGACACGGUCCAGACUCCUACGGGAGGCAGCAGUAGGGAAUCUUGCGCAAUGGAGGAAACUCUGACGCAGCGAUACCGCGUGAGUGAGGAAGGUCUUCGGAUUGUAAAGCUCUGUCGUGAGGGAAAAAUGGUUACACAGGUAAUAUUUGUGUAAAUUGAUGGUACCUCAGAAGGAAGCACCGGCUAACUUCGUGCCAGCAGCCGCGGUAAUACGAAGGGUGCAAGCGUUGUUCGGAUUUAUUGGGCGUAAAGCGCGCGCAGGCGGGUUUUUAAGUCAGAUGUGAAAUCUCGGAGCUCAACUCCGAACG
rnacentral:rRNA from 1 species